CCCCCCCCUCAAAAAAAACAACAACCCACAAACAAAUCUGAAGUAAAAUAAACCAGUAGCAGCUGGAAGAAAUCUCAGCACGCACCUGAGUAAAUCUCCGAAUCUGGCUCUGAUGUAUGAGGUUCAGCACGGCUCCGCGUCAUGAUGUUAGCUACUCUUAAAGCACCAUGUUUACUGUAGUCGAGAGUCCAGUUUAAUAAAACAGUAAUAGACAGCAGGUACUUCCUGUCCUCGUUUGGCCCUUAGUAUCCAAGCAGCAACGGGAACGGCGGCUUUCAGGACGGGACCCAGAUAUUUCCUUGUUCAUGUGGCGUCCGGGCAAAGCUGCGGGAUGUGAAAGCGCUAGACUUUUGCCUGAAACGACCUGUUUGUGGACUACUUCUACAUUUUAUUACUAAAGCACACUGCAGGUACUUCUUGAUUUUCUCUUUGGAUAUGCUUCAUUGGUGUAAUCUCUAUCUUUUGUUGUUGUCAACUUUGGUCCUUCAUACACGUGCAUACAGAAUACCAAUAUCAAUACUGGGGUGUUUUUCUGAGUUAGGAAGUUGGGG